rnacentral:rRNA from 1 species
AGUGAACGCUGGCGGUAGGCCUAACACAUGCAAGUCGAACGGCAGCACAGUAAGAGCUUGCUCUUACGGGUGGCGAGUGGCGGACGGGUGAGGAAUACAUCGGAAUCUACUUUUUCGUGGGGGAUAACGUAGGGAAACUUACGCUAAUACCGCAUACGACCUACGGGUGAAAGCAGGGGAUCUUCGGACCUUGCGCGAUUGAAUGAGCCGAUGUCGGAUUAGCUAGUUGGCGGGGUAAAGGCCCACCAAGGCGACGAUCCGUAGCUGGUCUGAGAGGAUGAUCAGCCACACUGGAACUGAGACACGGUCCAGACUCCUACGGGAGGCAGCAGUGGGGAAUAUUGGACAAUGGGCGCAAGCCUGAUCCAGCCAUACCGCGUGGGUGAAGAAGGCCUUCGGGUUGUAAGCCCUUUUGUUGGGAAAGAAAAGCAGCAGGUUAAUACCCCGCUGUUCUGACGGUACCCAAAGAAUAAGCACCGGCUAACUUCGU